AGAGUUUGAUGGUGGCUCAGGACGAACGCUGGCGGCGUGCUUAACACAUGCAAGUCGAACGAGAGCGUAGAGAAAGCUUGCUUUUUCUACAAUCUAGUGGCAAACGGGUGAGUAACGCGUAAACAACCUGCCCUACGGAUGGGGACAACAGCUGGAAACGGCUGCUAAUACCGAAUACGUUCCGAAAGUCGCAUGACUAUCGGAAGAAAGGAUGGCCUCUAUUUAUAAGCUAUCGCCGGAGGAGGGGUUUGCGUCUGAUUAGCUAGUUGGAGGGGUAACGGCCCACCAAGGCGACGAUCAGUAGCCGGUCUGAGAGGAUGAACGGCCACAUUGGAACUGAGACACGGUCCAGACUCCUACGGGAGGCAGCAGUGGGGAAUCUUCCGCAAUGGGCGAAAGCCUGACGGAGCAACGCCGCGUGAGUGAAGACGGCCUUCGGGUUGUAAAGCUCUGUUAUACGGGACGAAUAAUCUUGUGGUUAAUACCCAUGAGAAGUGACGGUACCGUAAGAGAAAGCCACGGCUAACUACGUGCCAGCAGCCGCGGUAAUACGUAGGUGGCAAGCGUUGUCCGGAAUUAUUGGGCGUAAAGGGCGCGCAGGCGGCUUCUUAAGUCUGUCUUAAAAGUGCGGGGCUUAACCCCGUGAUGGGAUGGAAACUGGGAAGCUCAGAGUAUCGGAGAGGAAAGCGGAAUUCCUAGUGUAGCGGUGAAAUGCGUAGAUAUUAGGAGGAACACCAGUGGCGAAAGCGGCUUUCUGGACGAAAACUGACGCUGAGGCGCGAAAGCCAGGGGAGCGAACGGGAUUAGAUACCCCGGUAGUCCUGGCCGUAAACGAUGGGUACUAGGUGUAGGAGGUAUCGACCCCUUCUGUGCCGGAGUUAACGCAAUAAGUACCCCGCCUGGGGAGUACGCCGCAAG
rnacentral:rRNA from 1 species